GGUUAUUCAGGGAUGCACCGAGAAGUAGUGAGAAGAAUGGUGAAAGAAAGACACAGAGAAGCGGGAUUAGGAGGGACGGUCCCCUGAUAGGGAAGCGCCAACAAGCUCUGGUUUAUUCAGUGCUUUUAUACAUGCCAGGGGUCAAAAGUUCACACAAUAACUAUUUUUGUCUUCCUUUGAUGCGGCCUCUGCAGUCUGUCUUAUGCUAACUAUUAACUAUGAAAAGCCAUUCACAGCGCUUCACUGAUCUGGUAAGAACAGGAAGGUACCCAUAACAGGAUCUUCGGUGGUGGUCUUUGCCAUCCCACCUAUUUCCCUGUCUGCAGGCUUUGCCAAUGCAUGGGAAUGUGAAUUUGGCUCUCCACAACUUUCUCAUAAGAAAAUAGACAGUGAAGAAAUAAUCUCUCUAGUGCGUCAGGCUGGUGGGAGAUUGGCAGUUGCCAAGAUUUCCAAACUUGCCCAACUGGCUCUCUGGGGACAACUAGUAUCACACACAUUCCUGAAGAAUGGCCUGGAGAUGUUUUACAAGCAGAAUCUCCUUCUGUGAUAGGAAGGGACGCCACCUGGAAAGAGGAGCAGCUACGGGAACAGGAGGUGCAAGGAGCAGGAAUCUAUGAACUGAGUCCUGGACACGCUCCAGCUAUCAGCUAACUCAGAACUUAUUCGUUGUGAAGGAGCAUCUAUAUGCAGGGAAUUCCUGGAAAACAUUGCUGGAAAAAUGAACAAUCCUCUACUGCCUGGGCCAAAAGAUUACAAUUAAGGUGGGCAGACCUUCUGGAUGCUUCUUAAUUGACAUCACUUGAGGUCAGUGCAUUUCAAACUUUAAUGUACACAUGAAUCACCUGGGGACCUAGUUAAACUUGAUUCUGAUUCAGUAAGUCUGGGGUGGGGCCUGGGACUCUCCAUAUCUAACAAGCUCCCAUGGGUGCUAACUCUGUCUGCUGCUAGGGGACUGUCCUUAGAGCAGAGGCCCAGGUGACCAUCAACCCACCUUCAGCGAUACUGAUGCACUCAGGAAAGAAUGAGUUGCUUUUCUCUUUCUUGAGGCCCUUUGACACUCUGCACAUGUAUCCAUUAGGAGCACUUUGUGUUGUAAUGAUUUGUAUGGGGCCCAUCUUCUCUAUGAGGCUGAGGGCUCUUAUACACAGUAGCUGCAUCUUAUUUAUCUCCAUUUCCUCUUGACUUCUACCUCUCUUCACUUUAACACUGUGGUUGGCACAAAAAAGGCACUUAAUGUAUGAUGAUGAACAGGCCCAGUCAGGCCUGAUGGUGAUUGGGUGAGCUCAUAAACCCUGCGGGCUCUUACGUGGCAUCUCUGUUCCUGCAUGGCCACAUGGCAUAAACCAGUGAUUUCCAACCCUGACUACAGAUCGGGGGAAUUUAAAAAAAUACUGAUCCCAGGCCCACUCCAGUGUUCUGAUUUAAUUGAACUGUUUUGAAGCCCAAGUAUGAAUGACUUUAAUAGCCCUCCAGGCUCUUACAACUCAAAAAUAAAAAGACGAAUAACCCAAUUAAAAAUAGGCAAAAUAUUUGAAUGGAUAUUUUCCCAAGAAAGAUUUACAAGUGGCCCAUCAGUACAGAAAAAGGUAUUCAAUAUCAUUAAGGAAAUGCAAAUCAAAGCUGAGAGAUACACUUCACACCUAAUAGGAUGGUGUGGGAGAAUUUCAAACUUUCCCUCUGAAGAUUUGAGUCUAAGGCUGUUGAAAUGAAUUGCCAGUAGAUGGGUUAACAGGAAAAAUGGCAUACAAAUUUGCUUAAUGUGCCUAAGCAUGGGGGAAUCGCAGGAGGAUAAUUACCCAAUAACUCACGGAGGUCCAGAUGCUUUCAUACCCUUUUACAUAGGGGAAGGGGAGACAGGGGGUGUAGGAGUAAAUGAUUUUAGGAGAGAUAAAUAGACUUUGGAGACAGAAAUUAGCUUGGGAAGGAUUCUCUUUGUAAAUUGAAGGUACUGGAGAACAAACAACAGUUUGGAGGAAAGUUGGUCUGGACUGUAGGUGUGGUGUUUAAUUUUCAGUCUCUUCCUCUGUGACAUGAAUUUUAAUCUUCUCCAGUUAAUGUAAUUUUAGGGAAAGGAUCAAAGGCAACUGUGUUUCUCUUUAGCAGGCCCAGUUUCUAGGUAGUUAAGGAAAUUUCAGAGAAUAGCCUCAGGAGAGGUGGGGGAAGGUCGGAGAGACCUUAAGCCAGCUUCUUAAUUUGUAUGUCAAAGUGCCACAUUUCAUAGUAUCUUUUUUGUGCCCCCACAAUGGAUAUAUGAAAAAAAGAAAAGAAAAGAACUGUUGGUAUAUUAAAAAAAGAAAAGAAAAGAAAAGAAGUGUUGGUGAGGACGUGGAGAACUCAGAACCCUCAUACACUGUUGAUGGGGAUGUAAAAUGGUGCAGAUGCUUUGUAAAACAGCUUGGCAGUUCCAAAAAUGUUAAAUGUGGAGUUUUUAUAUGACCCAGCAAUUUCAUUCCUAGGUAUACACCCAAGAUAACUGAAUUUCAUCUUAAAAAAUAAAAAGUAAAAUGCUUCCCAGGGGAAUUUGAUUUGCAGCCAAAUUUGAGAAGCUCUGAUGUAAAGUAACCUGGGGUAAAUGUUCAAACACUUGCUGUCAAGAGGAUGCUGCUGCUGACCAGAAGUUCUCGACUUCAAAUGCACAUUGGAAUGAACUGAGGGUCUUCUAAAAAAUGCCAUUGCCUGGGUGUCCCCAAAAUGAGCCUGAUUUAAUUGUUCUGGGGUAUAGCCUGGACAAGCACUGCAGGAGAUUCUAGUGAGCAGCCAAAAUGGACACAGUGCUGAUGGUGGUAGUCGUAAGGAUCAUUGGAGGGCUGUUAAAAUGCACUUUCUUGACCUCUGUCCCCAGUUCUGAGUCAGGGGACCUGGGGUGGGGCUGGGCAUCUUCAUUAUUUUUAUUUUUAAUUCAAAAUUUUUUUUUGAGACAGAGUCUUAGUCUGUCACCCAGGCUGGAGUACAGUGGCAUGAUCUCAGCUCACUGCAACCUCCACUUCCUGGGUUCAAGCAAUUUUCCUGCCCCAGCCUCCCGAGUAGCUGGGACUACAGGCACCCACCACCAUGCCUGGCUAAUUUUUUUGUAUUUUUUAGUAGAGAUGGGGUUUCACCAUGUUGGCCAGGCUGGUCUCAAACUCCUGACCUCAAGUGGUCCACCUGCCUUGGCCUCCCAAAGUGCUGGGAUUACAGGUGUGAGCCACUGUGCCCGGCUGCAUCUUCAUUAUUAGCAAGCUCCUUGAUGAUUGUGAUGCAGGUGGCCUGGACCACACUUUGAGAAACACUACUUUAGGGAAGGCCUCUUGGAAUGGAAUGUGCAUGCAAAUCACCUGGGGACCUUGCUAAACGGCAGCUUCUGAUUCUGCAUUUCCAACCAGCUCCCAGAUGAUGCCAGGGAUGCUGGUCUGCAGACUGCAGCUUGGGUAGCAAGGCUACAUAGCCGUGGUUCUCAAAGUGUGAGUCCUCAACGGGCAUCAGUAUCACUUGGGAACUUGUUAGAAAUGCAGAUUAUCAGGCCGCAUCUCAGACUUACUGAAUCAGGAACUCUGGGGGUGGAGCCCAACAAUGUUUUUUUAAAAAGCAUGAUUGCAUACAUUUAUGAUACACAACAUGUAUAUAUACAUUGUGAAAUGACCACAAUCAAGCUAUUUAAUAUGUCCAUCAUCUCUCAUAGUUAUCUUUUAUAUGUGAAAAGAACACUUAAAAUCUACUCUUAGCAACUUUCAAGUAUACGAUACAUGAUUAUUAAGAUUAUUAACUGUAGUCACCAUGCUGUGCAAUGGACAUCCAGAAAUUAGUCAUCCUGUCUAAUUGAAACUCAGUACUCUUUGACCAACAUCACGCAUUGCCCCCACCUCCCCAAGCAGUCUGUUUUAGCAGGCUCUCCAGGUGAUGCCGAUGCACACUGCAACUUGAGAACCGCUGUGGAGGGCUAUCAAGUGCUUCUAGUCCCUCCCAGACGCUUCCCAACCCUGGAGCAGCACCUCAGUAGAGCAGCGGAAGACCGCCUGUGGCUCUGGGAAUUGCUGAUACUGAGCAGAGACAGUCCUUGACCGGAGACGUUUAGGAAUGUGAAGCUCAGGGCACCUGCCAUCCUGGCUGCCCUUAGGUCCCUUGGAAAAGCUGCCCAGGAACCUUG